ACACAUGCAAGUCGAGCGGUGAAGCCAAGCUUGCUUGGUGGAUCAGUGGCGAACGGGUGAGUAACACGUGAGCAACCUGCCCUGGACUCUGGGAUAAGCGCUGGAAACGGCGUCUAAUACUGGAUAUGAGCUCUCUAUCGCAUGGUGGGGGUUGGAAAGAUUUUUCGGUCUGGGAUGGGCUCGCGGCCUAUCAGCUUGCUUGGUGAGGUAAUGGCUCACCAAGGCGUCCACGGGUAGCCGGCCUGAAAGGGUGACCGGCCACACUGGGACUGAAACACGGCCGCAAACUCCUACGGGAGGCAGCAGGGGGGAAUAUUGCACAAUGGGCGGAAGCCUGAUGCACCAACGCCGCGUGAGGGAUGACGGCCUUCGGGUUGUAAACCUCUUUUAGCAGGGAAGAAGCGAGAGUGACGGUACCUGCAGAAAAAGCGCCGGCUAACUACGUGCCAGCAGCCGCGGUAAUACGUAGGGCGCAAGCGUUAUCCGGAAUUAUUGGGCGUAAAGAGCUCGUAGGCGGUUUGUCGCGUCUGCUGUGAAAUCCCGAGGCUCAACCUCGGGCCUGCAGUGGGUACGGGCAGACUAUAGUGCGGUAGGGGAGAUUGGAAUUCCUGGUGUAGCGGUGGAAUGCGCAGAUAUCAGGAGGAACACCGAUGGCGAAGGCAGAUCUCUGGGCCGUAACUGACGCUGAGGAUCGAAAUGGUGGGGAGCAAACAGGCUUAGAUACCCUGGUAGUCCACCCCAUAAACGUUGGGAACUAGUUGUGGGGACCAUUCCACGGUUUCCGUGACGCAGCUAACGCAUUAAGUUCCCCGCCUGGGGAGUACGGCCGCAAGGCUAAAACUCAAAGGAAUUGACGGGGACCCGCACAAGCGGCGGAGCAUGCGGAUUAAUUUGAUGCAACGCGAAGAACCUUACCAAGGCUUGACAUAUACGAGAACGGGCCAGAAAUGGUCAACUCUUUGGACACUCGUAAACAGGUGGUGCAUGGUUGUCGUCAGCUCGUGUCGUGAGAUGUUGGGUUAAGUCCCGCAACGAGCGCAACCCUCGUUCUAUGUUGCCAGCACGUAAUGGUGGGAACUCUUGGGAUACUGCCGGGGUCAAAUCGGGGGAAAGUGGGGAUGAGGUCAAAUCAUCAUGCCCCUUAUGUCUUGGGCUUCACGCAUGCUACAAUGGCCGGUACAAAGGGCUGCAAUACCGUGAGGUGGAGCGAAUCCCAAAAAGCCGGUCCCAGUUCGGAUUGAGGUCUGCAACUCGACCUCAUGAAGUCGGAGUCGCUAGUAAUCGCAGAUCAGCAACGCUGCGGUGAAUACGUUCCCGGGUCUUGUACACACCCCCCGUCAAGUCCUGAAAGUCGGUAACACCUGAAGCCGGUGGCCCAACCCUUGUGGAGGGAGCCG
rnacentral:rRNA from 1 species